UAGGUUGAGCAAUGGUCACGGUUUGCCUGGGACUGAGGAGUUUCCCCAGAUGCAGGACUUGGAAUGCUAAAACCAG
rnacentral:miRNA from 1 species